rnacentral:rRNA from 1 species
GAUGAACGCUGGCGGCGUGCCUAAUACAUGCAAGUCGAGCGAACGGACGAGAAGCUUGCUUCUCUGAUGUUAGCGGCGGACGGGUGAGUAACGCGUGGAUAACCUACCUAUAAGACUGGGAUAACUUCGGGAAACCGGAGCUAAUACCGGAUAAUAUUUUGAACCGCAUGGUUCAAAAGUGAAAGACGGUCUUGCUGUCACUUAUAGAUGGAUCCGCGCUGCAUUAGCUAGUUGGUAAGGUAACGGCUUACCAAGGCAACGAUGCAUAGCCGACCUGAGAGGGUGAUCGGCCACACUGGAACGGAGACACGGUCCAGACUCCUACGGGAGGCAGCAGUAGGGAAUCUUCCGCAAUGGGCGAAAGCCUGACGGAGCAACGCCGCGUGAGUGAUGAAGGUCUUCGGAUCGUAAAACUCUGUUAUUAGGGAAGAACAUAUGUGUAAGUAACUGUGCACAUCUUGACGGUACCUAAUCAGAAAGCCACGGCUAACUACGUG